AGCCUCGUCAGGCUCAGUCCCCUCCCGAUAAACCCUUAAAUAGGGACUUUCCCGGGGGGUGAUUCUGGCUUUUUUGGC
ensembl:miRNA MIR484 microRNA 484